GGUUCAGUCAAUUGAGGAGGAAAUUCAAAAAAAGGAGUGCGGCUACAAGGCCCAGAUUGCGUCUCAAAAAAAGAAGUCGCAGGACAAUUGGUCAAAAGCCUUCACAUCCACACAAGCCCUGGCAGCGGAAAGAAAAGAGACAGCCUGCCUUCGUAAACAGUUGGAGGACCUCAGCGCUAAACAGGAGGAACUGAAGAAAUCUGUCAAUAAGACCACCCCGCGCUCCUCUAACCAACA